rnacentral:lncRNA from 11 species
CUCAUUCCAGAUAGUGUGGAGAACAGAUCUGAAGGAAGAAUGCAAUUGAAUAUGCAUCCCUACUGACAUUAAGAUUCUGAAGGCCAAAUUCCUGACAGAAGCCCACGGCAGCCUUUCUCUGGGGAACUGUCUUCUGAGGAUGAAUUCUCAGGUAAAGAGCUUAAUGAGCUAGAAGAUAGGAGGCAAAACUUCUGUAAACUAAGGGAAAGUUCCCAGGCCCA